AAUACUGUGAGAAACAUGAGGUAAACUGAGCCACAGGGAGGACUGCAAUGUCAACCUCACCUAGAUGUCUACAAUACCUUACUCCAAAAAGAUUCUCACGGUGACAGAGCUUAAGAUCUGGUCCGUUGACUUGAGUAAUUUGGACUUCAGUUGCACAUAUCAAAGCAAUUUACAAGCAAGCAUUCAUUAAUAAGGCACAACUGAACAGUGAAUUUAGAGAAGAGAUCUGCACAAAGGUUAGCUGUUUGACGGAAGAAUGCCACUUGUAGUAGGCGAGAAGGUAUUCUGGGAGACUAGUUUAACCUUUAAACCAUGUCACUCAACACAGAAGUAUCAAGGAAUCAAAGAAGUCAAAAGAACUGAAAUCUGGUGGAAGAUGGAUCUGAAUAUAAGAUUUUCACAUCUGAAUGGUACCUGAAUGAAUAAUGGUCUUUAAGAAAAAUAAUCUGUUGGAAGAACUCUCUUCUCAUUUGUUCUGAGGAUGGUGUUUAGGACUCCUUCCUAAAGCUAGCUUGAAAACUUGAAACCAUAUGUUCACAAAAAGCCAAAAUAAACUCUCUUGAGAUGUCCA
rnacentral:lncRNA from 1 species